rfam:Gossypium raimondii Chr10_contig_1451, whole genome shotgun sequence.
UUUUAAAAUUUUCAUUUAUUUCUACUAUUAAAAAUUGACAUAGCUGAUAGAAUAACCAAAUAGUGACAUGUGGCGUCACAUGUACCUUAUCCUGACAUACAUGUACCCGUUUUUAACUAUGGAAAUGAAUAAAUUUUUUUAAUA